UAUAUAUAUAUAUACACAGAGAUGCAGUGUAUUAUUCAACUCUAUGUUAGAGGUGACAUUGACUACAAUGAUCUAAGCACAUUCUAUGGUGCGUUUUGUGUUGUGUUCCACUUCCUCCUCCGAAGCAUGUUUAAUGUGUGUGUCUGAACCUAUGCCACCGUAUAUAUCCCCCCUUUGGUGGCAUCCUAAAUGGCACACUUUUCCCUAUGUAGUGCACUACUUCUAACCAGAAAUAAAGCACUAUAUAGGCCGAUGGGGUGUCAUUUGGGAUCAAAGACGUUAGAAUGUUCCUUUUUUUUAUUUUCUUUAUCUUCAUUUUACUUUCAACUGUUUUAGACUUUUACAUUCUGUACAACCAUUUAUUUAUCGUUCUUAUUUUCUUCUUCAGUACACUAUGAAGGCCAUUGAGGUAAUAUGUUUGAUCCUGUAUUUAUCGUAUUGCUAUUUCCUUUGUCUUUCAGUUCAAUGUGUUUUUUCAUUUCAUUCAGUGUCAGUUAUAGUUUCAAUUUAGUGUCUUUUUAAGUUCAAAUUUUCUUUGAGAGAGUGACAACUUUGCUCAGUCACACUGUUAUAAUGUUGUGUUAUUAUGGUUAUAGCGCUUUUAUAAACAGUUUAGAUUCAGUUUUUUUCUUUUUCAGGUCAGUCAGAAGUUAGGCCUUGGUUAAGUUACGUUUUUCAGGUCAGUCAGAAGUUAGGCCUUGGUUAAGUUACGUUUUUCAGGUCAGUCAGAAGUUAGGCCUUGGUUAAGUUACGUUUUUCAGGUCAGUCAGAAGUUAGGCCUUGGUUAAGUUACGUUUUUCAAGUCAGUCAGAAGUUUGGCCUUGGUUAAGUUACGUUUUUCAAGUCAGUCAGAAGUUAGGCCUUGGUUAAGUUACGUUUUUCAGGUCAGUCAGAAGUUUGGCCUUGGUUAAGUUACGUUUUUCAAGUCAGUCAGAAGUUAGGCCUUGGUUAAGUUACAUUUUUCAGGUCAGUCAGAAGUUUGGCCUUGGUUAAGUUACAUUUUUCAAGUCAGUCAGAAGUUAGGCCUUGGUUAAGUUACGUUUUUCAAGUCAGUCAGAAGUUAGGCCUUGGUUAAGUUACGUUUUUCAAGUCAGUCAGAAGUUAGGCCUUGGUUAAGUUACAUUUUUCAAGUCAGUCAGAAGUUAGGCCUUGGUUAAGUUACAUUUUUCAAGUCAGUCAGAAGUUAGGCCUUGGUUAAGUUACAUUUUUCAAGUCAGUCAGAAGUUAGGCCAAGUUACGUUUUUCAAGUCAGUCAGAAGUUUGGCCUUGGUUAAGUUACGUUUUUCAAAAAGGGAUUUUUUUUUUUUUUUUGCCAUAUUCCCCAAAGAGAUACUGUGAACAGAAUCAUACAUUUGCAAUGUGUUGUCAGACAGUAUGUUCAUUUUAACAGUGGAAUAGAGUAUAGAUAUGUCCAGGAUGGUAUAGUGUGUCUGUGUUGUUACUACUAUGUGUUAACACUGUGAACGUCAGUGGAGUGAACGCUGUUAGCGGCGCCAUCUAGUGGGCAACAUUGCAGUAACAGUACAUAGGAGAUAUCCAAUGAAUGAUGAUAUGAGGAAAUGGACAAUGUUCAUAAUUUUGAUCAUUCGACAUGUUGUGUUUUAAAUAGCUGUCUGUCAGGACACAAACACAACGAAUAAAGUGCCUGAGCAAUAUGACAAGCGCUGCGUUACAAAUGGCAUCAUAUUCCCUACAUAUUUGACUACUUUCGACCAGAGCCCAAUGGGCCCUGGUCAAAAGUAGUGCACUAUAUAGGGAAUAGGGUGCCAUUUGAGACGCAUACAAUAUCUCUAUACAGAUGAAGACUGAUUUACUGUGUGUGAUUUAUUUUUUUAUUUGUUUAUUUCACCUUUUAUUUACGCAGGGAGAACAAUCACAAAUUCUGUCAGAAAAUACUGUAUGUUCCUUCAAUCUGAACUUUCUCUUCAAAAGUGGGCUUUUUUUAAACACGGCAUUGUUGUAGAAAAGCAUUGUUGGUAUUUUUUUAAUGCAUUGAGACACUGACUUUACUUUGACCAAAACUCUGAAUCUCUGGCAACCGGACACAGUGCUUCCAAUUCCCCACAGACUGAAUACAGGUUCUGAAUCUCUGGCAACCGGACACAGUGCUUCCAAUUCCCCACAGACUGAAUACAGGUUCUGAAUCUCUGGCAACCGGACACAGUGCUUCCAAUUCCCCACAGACUGAAUACAGGUUCUGAAUCUCUGGCAACCGGCCACAGUGCUUACAAUUCCCCAGAGACUGAAUACAGGUUCACACUAAGGACAUGUUCACGAUCAAUUUCAGACUGACUGAUCUGCAAAUGAUAUUUUUUAUCCUAAAUAACUACUUCCUGUUUAUAUAUACCCGUUGCAGUUGCCGCAAUGAGAAAAGGUCGUAACUACACCAUUGGAUACCACGAUGUUUACUAACUGAUUAUUUUGGUUUUAUUAUUCUGGGAAAACAGGGAAUUCUGGGAAAGUUUGCGGAAUAUUACAACCCUACAUGGAACUAACCCUGCUCUGUGUAGUGCACCAACUGACCCUGCUCUGUGUAGUGCACCAACUGUGUUACUGAUAUUAAACCACUUACUCCUUGUUACAUUAAGGGAAGGAGGGCGUGUUACAUUAAGGGGAAGGAGGGCGUGUCACAUUAAGCAAAGGAGGGCGUGUCAGAUUAAGGGGAAGGAGGGCGUGUCACAUUAAGGGGAAGGAGGGCGUGUCACAUUAAGGGAAGGAGGGCGUGUUACAUUAAGGGGAAGGAGGGCGUGUCACAUUAAGGGGAAGGAGGGCGUGUCACAUUAAGGGGAAGGAGGGCGUGUCACAUUAAGCGGAAGGAGGGCGUGUCACAUUAAGGGGAAGGAGGGCGUGUCACAUUAAGGGGAAGGAGGGCGUGUUACAUUAAGGGGAAGGAGGGCGUGUCACAUUAAGGGAAGGAGGGCGUGUCACAUUAAGGGGAAGGAGGGCGUGUCACAUUAAGGGGAAGGAGGGCGUGUCACAUUAAGGGGAAGGAGGGCGUGUCACAUUAAGGGGAAGGAGGGCGUGUCACAGUAAGGGGAAGGAGGGCGUGUCACAGUAAGGGGAAGGAGGGCGUGUCACAGUAAGGGGAAGGAGGGCGUGUCACAGUAAGGGGAAGGAGGGCGUGUCACAUUAAGGGGAAGGAGGGCGUGUCACAUUAAGGGGAAGGAGGGCGUGUCACAUUGAGCGAAGGAGGGCGUGUCACAUUAAGGGGAAGGAGGGCGUGUCACAGUAAGGGGAAGGAGGGCGUGUCUGUGACUAAUGCCAGGUGACAUUCUUUUGAACAAAGUGCAGGACAGUUUUUAUAAUAUUAUCUCCUAAAUGUUGUCCCCUUUUGUUGUUUGUGAAUUGUUUGUUAUAGCAUAAAAUGUAAAUGUAUUAUUGUCAGUAUGACAGAAGAAUAAAUCUAAUAUAUUUUCUGA